rnacentral:rRNA from 1 species
AUUGAACGCUGGCGGCAUGCCUUACACAUGCAAGUCGAACGGCAUCGCGGGAAAGCUUGCUUUCCUGGCGGCGAGUGGCGAACGGGUGAGUAACACAUCGGAACGUACCGGCUAGUGGGGGAUAACCCGUCGAAAGACGGGCUAAUACCGCAUACGCUCUUCGGAGGAAAGCAGGGGACCUUUGGGCCUUGCGCUAGUCGAGCGGCCGAUGUCCGAUUAGCUAGUUGGUGGGGUAAAGGCCUACCAAGGCGACGAUCGGUAGCGGGUCUGAGAGGACGAUCCGCCACACUGGGACUGAGACACGGCCCAGACUCCUACGGGAGGCAGCAGUGGGGAAUCUUGGACGAUGGGGGCAACCCUGAUCCAGCAAUGCCGCGUGGGUGAAGAAGGCCUUCGGGUUGUAAAGCCCUUUCGGCAGGGAAGAAAUCGGCGGGGCGAAUAACCCUGCUGGAUGACGGUACCUGCAGAAGAAGCACCGGCUAACUACGUG